UGGGGAAUAUUGCACAAUGGGCGCAAGCCUGAUGCAGCGACGCCGCGUGAGGGAUGACGGCCUUCGGGUUGUAAACCUCUUUCAGCUCCGACGAAGCGCAAGUGACGGUAGGAGCAGAAGAAGCACCGGCCAACUACGUGCCAGCAGCCGCGGUAAUACGUAGGGUGCAAGCGUUGUCCGGAAUUACUGGGGGUAAAAAGCUCGUAGGCGGUUUGUCGCGUCGUCUGUGAAAUUCUGCAGCUUAACUGCAGGCGUGCAGGCGAUACGGGCAGACUUGAGUACUACAGGGGAGACUGGAAUUCCUGGUGUAGCGGUGAAAUGCGCAGAUAUCAGGAGGAACACCGGUGGCGAAGGCGGGUCUCUGGGUAGUAACUGACGCUGAGGAGCGAAAGCGUGGGUAGCGAACAGG
rnacentral:rRNA from 1 species